UACCAGCACCCCGAGUGGUCGGGACGUUUAUUGGGCCUAAAGCAUCCGUAGCCGGUUCUACAAGUCUUCCGUUAAAUCCACCUGCUCAACAGAUGGGCUGCGGAAGAUACUAUGGAGCUAGGAGGCGGGAGAGGCAAGCGGUACUCGAUGGGUAGGGGUAAAAUCCGUUGAUCCAUUGAAGACCACCAAUGGCGAAGGCGGCUUGCCAGAACGCGCUCGACGGUGAGGGAUGAAAGCUGGGGGAGCAAACCGG
rnacentral:rRNA from 1 species